rnacentral:lncRNA from 1 species
GGAGAACUUGUGUCUCUAUGGGCUUCCUAAUGAAACAUGGGAAGUAAACCUCCCGGUGGAAGAGGUCCCUCCAGAACUUCCGGAACCAGCAUUGGGCAUAAAUUUUGCACGUGAUGGAAUGCAAGAAAAAGACUGGUUAUCACUUGUUGCUGUUCACAGUGAUUCAUGGCUGCUUUCUGUUGCAUUUUACUUUGGUGCAAGGUUUGGGUUCGGCAAGAGUGAAAGGUAAAAUAGCAUCCACCCUCUUUGCCGUGUCUGUUUGGUAAUUUUUGCUCGCAUUUCUUUUUAUCUUCUGGGGUUUAUCUAGUGACAUAUGUUGGGCUAUUUCUUUCCCAUAGCAGUUCCCCUCAUGCUUCUUAAAAUUCAUCUCCCCAAGCAUUUGGUGCAUCCAGAACUUGUAUGCUCCAUUGAUCAAUUUUAGGGAGAUAAGCUUCUGUGAUUGCUGUCCUUUUUUUUUUUCCAUAGCUGAGAUAAUUUUCCAUGAAAAAUCACUGAAGAAAUUUAGUCAACAAUCAUGUAUGAACGUCUCUUUUCCAGCACUGUACUUUCUAACCCAUACAGUUAGAGCUCCCUUUUUCCCUUUGAUCUCUGUUGAAGAAAUAGGUAUAUGUUUCCUUUUUGUUGUCUUCUUGCUUACCACGUAGUGUUUGACCUGUUUGUUGCCUCUCAUUGCGGUAUGUUAACCCAGCAAUCAAUCAAUCAUGAACUAGGCCUAAUCCCAGAUAAGGUGGGUUUGAUUCCCUUAUCUGCUUCAUCUCUCCAAGAUUCAGUAUUUAGAAUUCAUCAUAAUUAGACGAGCUUAUGCUUGCCGUUAAUCUACUCCAAUCGUUCUGCUUCACUGACAUAUUAAGGCUCUUAUAGACAGUUGUGACUGAUUGAUGGUGUUGAGUUUAAAACAUCUUUUUCAUUCUAAGGAUAUACUUUAUAUACAAAAGCACCAAGAAGGUGCAAAUAUAUUGAGUUUAUAACAGUAAAACUCUGAAGUAUAAGUAUUAGCUGUAAUUAGGAUUACUAAGUUGGAACUCUGGAAUGGAGAAUUUCUAGCAGUGAGAUAAUUUGGGCAAUAUGUAGAAGUCCACCUUCAUCCAAAGUUCAUUUAGGCAGUGUUUCAUAUUUUCUGUGUCAUGUAAAGAUGAUAAGAUGUACUGAUAAGCUGGAGUUGCUUUGAAAGUUGACAACACCAUCAAGAGAAUUUGGAAGAUGAUACCUGCAGCCAUUUUUUGGAGUAUCUGGAAUGAUAGGAAUAGAAGAUGCUUUGAUGAAAUAUACAACUACCUACCAAUCUCUAAAAGCUAAUUGCCUCAUGUUUUUGUAUAGUUGGUUUAUUUAUCCCCUCUAGAUUCCCCUGGUUCCUUUCUGAACUGUGUCAGCUCCCUGACUCUUAACUAGCAAUGUAAAGGAGAGCUGACCCUUUGCUACUGUACUUUUGUAACUAUUAUGCAUCUACUUGAUGCCUGCAAUAUAAUAAUUACUUCAUCAAAAAAAAAAAAGAUGUCUUAUUUCUUUGUCUUGGUGACCAUACUGAUGACUUGUUGGAGUGAAAUUCCAGACAUCUUCCAUUUUUAGGUUUCUAUAGAAUUUGUUUAUCAUUACCAUAUAAAUAUGGAAUAUAGAUUUGCAAAGCCCUUUGUCCUUUCACUAUUCUGGAGAAGGUUAUUAGGUGCUAGUUAUUAGACAAAAGCAGAUUCAUUUGCAUAGUGACAUAGUUUGUGGCAUCAUUGGAUCAGAUAAUAUUUGGUUUAGAACCAAGGAUGCCUGACAUGUUGAGAUGCUUACCUUCAGCUGGUGUUUUUGGAUAUAUCAUCAUUGAAUAAAAUAGUAUGUUGAGUGAACAGUAGUUCAGACAUGUUGAGAGAUCAUUCUGUUAUUAUUGGCUGUAGCAUCAUUGAAUAAGUUAGUGCUUAGUUGAGUAGGCAAAGAAUGUCAAACAUGUCGGGACAGCACAAAUGCUGUAUAAUACUUGGAGCAAUUUUUGAGUAGCAGGUCUUUUGCCCCUCUUUUAUACCCUUGGGUUGUCUACUUUUUGUAUCUGCUGCUAUUGUAGGUUAGAGAAACUUCUGGAUGUGAAACUAUGACUGAAAUCAUUAUAAACUGGAUUUUAUACUGGGAAACUGGUGCAUGAGAUUCCGUGAUCAUGUGUACAUGUCCAGAAAUGUUCAACUUAAAUUUGGCUUAUAUUUUGUCAAGUGUAUGGAUAGUUUGCCUAGCUAGUCCAAUCUCAUAAAUGUGUCUUCCACUGGUUUAAUGGUUAUCUGAGAUAUAUUUAGAGAGAAUAAUUGUUUUAUUUUGGAAAUCAUGUAUACAGGAAGAGGCUUUUCCAAAUGAUAAAUGAUCUCCCAACAGUGUUUGAAGUUGUUACCGGAGCUGCUAAACAGACACGUGAUCCCCCUCACAACAAUAGCAACAAAAGCAAAUCAAGUGGAAAGGUUCUCAUAUACUUAACCUAACAUAUAGAAUUACUGUUUUUUUUUUUUCCAUUUUGUUUGAGCAUAUGUUUUCUGCAUCCUCUUUGAUUUGCAGCCUCGACAGCCAGAGUCCCAACUCAAGGCAGUAAAGGUGUCUCCAUCUAAAAUGGAGAACGACAGUGGGGAGGAGGAAGAAGAAGAAGAGGAUGAACAAGGAGCAACUCUCUGUGGAGCUUGUGGUGAUAAUUAUGCGACUGAUGAAUUCUGGAUUUGCUGUGAUAUUUGCGAGAGAUGGUUCCAUGGAAAAUGUGUGAAGAUCACUCCAGCUAAAGCUGAGCAUAUCAAGCAGUACAAGUGUCCUAGUUGCAGUAGCAAGAGAGCUAAAGUCUAGAAUUUGUGGCAAGAACAAUUAAGUGGUGAUGUUGGAAGGUGUAGGAGUUUUAGCUCAAUUAUCAAAUGUCAAAAGUUAAAUGUUUGCUGAUGGAAUUGGGAUGUCCAUUUCAUGAACAUUUGCUUUCUGUUAUCUUGCUUUCGGAUUGUGUUUUAGAUUAAAAGAAAUUGUGCCUGUUAUCAUCUUGUGUUUGAAGAUCCAUUUUCACUUUUUACUUUUGUAUUUAUUAUGAGGAAUUCCCAAACUUUUGUGAUAGUUUUGAGUACCGGAACAACAACCUGCUUAAAACUUAUGAAGGUCUAUCCUUUAUACCAGUCCACCAUGACUACAAGCUUUUAAUACCCCAAUAUAGGUUAUUCUAUCUGCUUCAAUAUUUUCUUUCUUCAUCUUCUACAACAAUUCAACAGCUUCAAUCACACUGCCAUAAGCUGUUAGCAUUCCAAUCUGCUGCAACAGCUCUCUCAGGAAUUUCAUCAAACUGUUGCUGUGCAAUCUCCAAAGACUAAAACUUUCCAUACAUACCCAUAAUCGCAUUCCGAAUGAACCUACCCAACCAUGACCUCUUUUGAUAGUAGGUUAUAACCUCUGAAAAUUGGAAUAAUCUAAGUGAUUGACAGGAAGAACAAUCCACGUACCCAGUGAAAUCUCACACAAUAACAUAAACAUAUUGAUAUCAAAAGCAAGAACUAUAAGAAUAACCUAAUACACAACUUCUGAAUCGUAUACGUAUGAAAAAAAGAAAUUCAGUCUAACUUGAUUUAUCAAAAAAUGUAAAAACUAGUGAAAAAGCUACUCACCUUAAUUCAAUAUUGGAGUUUGUCUUUAUACUCAAAUCACCGCCUUUGCUAUGAUUUAUUUCAUCAGAAGAAAUAUUUACGCAACCCAAUAGGUACACUUGCUCUCUCACAUCUAUUACAACCUCUUCCCUCUUUCUCUAACUUAAUCUCCGCUUUUUCACCAAUAAGUUGAUUUGCAAAAGUAACAAACAAAUAAGUCAAAACCCUGAAAAUUAAUCCCAAAAUUAGUUGGGAACCGUAAAUAAAAUCACAAUAAGAUUAAUUUUUAGGUUAGCAAAUUCAACUUACCAUAGCCCAGAAAAAAAGGAUGAAGAUUGCUUCCGAAGGAACAAUGGUGCAAUUGAAGCCAACAAUUCUUUUGGACUAAUUACAUGUGUUAUCCGCUAUCUCUUAAAACUCUCACCCUAUCACUCAAUUUUUUUUGUUCAUCUUUGUAUCCAAAUCUCAUGAUUCUCAAAUCAUUUUUCACGACUAUUAAAUUAAAGGUAUAUUUAACUUUUUAAAAAUCCUUUAUACUUUUCUCAUUUGAGUAAAAGUAAAACCUCUUGAUAACUAUAAAACCCAAAUAAGCUAUCCGUGGUAUUUAUAUCCCCCAACUUUUAUUGGAAACAACAAAUGUCAAAAUCAAAACCCACAAAACACAAACAUCAUAGCCUUCUUUUUUUUACACCUCUGUCUCAUCAUCAAACAAGAAGAAAGAAAAGAAGACAGAAGAAUCCCUCUCCAUUCUCCAAGGCAAAAUCUUCAUCCUAAAUUCUAGUAAUAAAAUAUUCUCAAGUUGGGAGUAUUACUAUAAUUUAACAACAAAUAAAAAGACAUUUCACAUCAGAUUUCUGCCACAUUUUUUUUUUGAAAGAACCAAUAGAUCCAAGUAUUCGUACACUAGUGCUACAUGUAUCUAUUUACCAAAAAAAAAAAAACUAAAAUAAAUGCUGCUGCUAAAACCCUUUCCCCACCACCCCACUUUCCUCUUUCUUCCUGCUGUUCUCUUUCUCUUUCUAUAUCCGUUUCUUACAAUUUCUCUACUUCUCACAGUUUCUCAUAAAAAAUUGAGUUUUUCUCUUUAUGAAUCUUCAUUUUCACAGUACGUAGCAAACUAAUUUUUAAGUUUGGGUAACAUGAAGAGGAAACCCUAGUUCUUGGGGGGAAAACCCUAAUUUUCUUCAACCCACUUCUUGUUUUUUCUCAAAGACUCAAUUUUUUUCUUGUGGGGUUGUUAGAAAUAUGGAAAAUACGGUACCUAGGACUGUAGAAGAAGUAUUCAACGAUUUCAAAGGUCGUAGAGCUGGUUUAAUCAAAGCACUAACUACAGGUUUGUAGUGUUGUUUCCUUUUUUUUUCUUAGAAUUUUCAUGCACUUUUAUGGGGUUUUGAGCAUAAUUUCUUUCUGGGUGUUUCUGAAUUUUGUUGGUUUUGCUAAUUAUGAUGUUCUUGAUUUUUUUUAAAAAAUUAUGCAGAUGUCGAGAAGUUUUAUCAAUCGUGUGAUCCUGGUGAGUUUUCUGCUGCUCAGUUUUGAUGGAUUGUUGUGGUCCAUCAAUAUUUUCACAUUUGGUUCUUCUGUGCUAUGAGCUUGAGGUGUAUUUCUAAAUGCAGUAUAUUUCCUAUAGGCUAUAGCUUUAAGUUUUCCGGGACUGUUUCUUUAUGAGAAAAUGAUCAAAAUGGUCCUUAAUGUAUGGUCUUUGAUUCCAUUUGGUCCUUAAUGUAUGGAGUUGAUGGAAAUGGUCCUUUAUGUAUCAUAAAUUGUGAUCAAUUUAGUCCUUAACCCUAAAAUUUUAAUGGCAGCAAUUAUUUAAAAAAAAUUUAAACUAAAAUCGCUACACGCGGAGCGAUUUCCCAUUAUUUUUUAAGCAGUCCUCGCCUCGAGAAUUUUUAAUAAAAAAAAUUGAACUUUUUUAAGAAAAUGGCUGCUAUAGCAGCUAUUUCUAUUUUUUAAAUGCUGCUGGGGCAACGUUGUUAAAAAAAUAAAAAUCACAACAGCGAUUUUAAAGAAAAAAGAAAUUUUUUUUUGGACCGGCAGCGAUUUUUAUGUUUUUUAAAGGAGUAACAGCGUCAAUUUUGUCAGAAGAAAAUCACUCCGUCAGAAGCGAUUUUGCCCUUUUGGUUAAGAAAAAAUUGAUGUGUCAUUUUGGAAUUUUUGGAAACAGGGGAAGGAAAGUCUUGAACGAGUGCAUCUUUUACAUAUUCCGUGUAUUUUGACGGCAAAAUAAAAUAAAAUAUUAAUUUUAGGGUUAAGGACCAAAUUAAUCACAAUUUAUGAUACAUAAAGGACCGUUUUCAUCAAGUCCAUACAUUAAGGACCAAAUGGAAUCAAAGCCAUACAUUAAGUACCAUUUUGAUCAUUUUCUCGUUUCUUUAUACUCCUGUUUUUUCUUUAAAUUUCUGUUGUUUUAUGUUCCUACUGUAUUUUGGAAUUUCAUUGUCAAUUUGGUUGAGUGAUUAAGCGACUUGAUUAGGACUUUGUGACUCUUAUAUUCCUAUAAGAGUCAAGCUCAUAUAUUUUCCUAUAAGGCUAUAGCUUUUAAUUUCUGGGACUGUUUCUUUAUAUUCCUGUUUUUUCUUUAAAUUUCUGCUGUUUAAUGUUCCUAAUGUAUUUUGGGAUUUCAUUGUCAAUUUGGUAGAGUGAUUUAGCAACUUGAAUAGGACUUGUGACUUAAUAUUUCAGAAUCUUAUAAUUUGCUUCUUGUCCCGUCUUUGUGUCAGUUUUGGAACUUCAAUGUUGUUUGUCCCAAGGAGUGGCCUAGAACUCAUGGUUAGAGCUUUCUGACUGCCUAUAUAAUUUUGUCAUUUGAUGUUCUUCUUUGGCUGCCAUGCAGGAAUGGAAAGAUCAUAUCUUUAUUAAGUAGUUAAUUGUCGCCUUCAAUUUUGAAAGAGUAAUUUUUCUGCAUUUUCAACAGAAUUAUCAUGAUCUCAAACUGCAUUCCAGAAUAUGAGUUGUAAAAUGAGAUCAUUACUUAGAAUUUUGUGUCAUUUAGUGAGAAUGUCAAUGUCAGAACUGUUCUCGUUGUAGUCUUGAUGACUUUUUGUCAAUUCUCAAGGAAGAAGAGGUUAGAACUUCUUUUAUGUAGCAAUGAUCAUCAUUUCUCUAUCACAGUGGCAGAGUGUCUCCAACCAUUGUUUAUCUUGCUUACAGCAACAACAACAACAACAUACCCAAUAUAAUCCCACAAGUGGGGUCUUGAUCAUUUAUCUUGUUUAUGAUGGGUAAAAGUGCAUAUGAUUGGAGUGUUGAAACCACUUUGAUGUCUUUAUGACAUUUUUUAUGUUGAUGCAUUUGGUGUAUAUACAUACUUAAGGUGUCUGGAGGCAGCUUAGUUAAAGUGGGUUGAAGUAUGUGUUUUCUUUCCUUUUUUUUCUCUUUCUUGGUAAGUUUUUUUCUCUCUUCUCUUUUUCAUUAUUCUUUGGGGUUUUGGUGGGUGGGGUGGGGAUGGGGGGUAGGAGGUGAGAGUACUGUAUUUCUGGUCUGUGAAAAAACAAUUUGGAAAUCCUUAUUUUGCAUUUGGCAAUUUUAGAGGUGCUUUUCUUGUGCCAGUAUUCAUUAAUUGUUUUUGAAGUAUUUGAUAUAGUAGGGAAACAUACCGUGGCUUUAUCCCAAGCAUUUGAUGCAUUUCUUUUAUGCAGUGUCUAACUGUUUAUACUUAUUCGACAGUCUCUGUUAAAAACUCUAUUUUGAAGAACUGGUUUAAAUUCUUUAUUUCGUUGCUGUUAUUUAUUUUGAUCCCAUUUGCUUAAAUGUUCAUUGUGACCUUUGUGACAAUGAUAUCGAUAGACUACUCCCUCUAUAUUUCAAACAGUUGUAUCGGCCUUUAUGACAGUUUAUAUCUCUCUUUAAUGUUUUUAGUCCGAUAGAUUACACAGUUAUUUAAGGUUUCGUAGAUAGUUUAUUAAAGCCUGGAAGUUGUAAGGAUAAUUGAGUUUUCUCUUGUGUUGCAUCAUUCUUAUCCCCUUCAUUUCACAGCUUGCCCUCUCUUUUUCCUUGUAUAGAGGCUUGUUGGGUGUGUUCCUUCAUUGGAUGUUCAAUUCUUGUUUUCUAUAUAGAUCACUUAUGCAGAUCAAUUAUGAAGUGUUUAUGACAAUUUCUGGAUUUAACUAUGUUUACUUUCAGAAAAGGAGAACUUGUGUCUCUAUGGGCUUCCUAAUGAAACAUGGGAAGUAAACCUCCCUGUAGAGGAGGUGCCUCCAGAACUUCCGGAGCCAGCAUUGGGCAUAAACUUCGCACGUGAUGGAAUGCAAGAGAAAGACUGGUUAUCACUUGUUGCUGUUCACAGUGAUUCAUGGCUGCUUUCUGUUGCAUUCUACUUUGGCGCACGGUUUGGGUUCGGCAAGAGUGAAAGGUAAAAUAAAAUCUGUUACCAAUAGAUUUCACCUUUAUCGUUUUAACUGUCUUGCAAACUUGGUCCUACCCAUUAUAUU